rnacentral:rRNA from 1 species
AGGGUUUGAUCCUGGCUCAGAACGUACGCUGGCGGCACGCCUAACACAUGCAAGUCGAACGCAGUAGCAAUACUGAGUGGCAAACGGGUGAGUAUAAUGUGGGAAUCUGCCUUUUGGUUCGGAAUAACACGAGGAAACUUGUGCUAAUACCGGAUAAGCCCUUACGGGGAAAGUUUUAAUGCCAAAAGAUGAGCCCGCACUUGAUUAGCUAGUUGGUAAGGUAAUGGCUUACCAAGGCAACGAUCAAUAGCUGUUCUUAGAGGAAGACCAGCCACAUUGGGACUGAGACACGGCCCAAACUCCUACGGGAGGCAGCAGUGGGGAAUCUUGCACAAUGGGGGAAACCCUGAUGCAGCGAUGCCGCGUGAGUGAAGAAGGCCCUUGGGUUGUAAAACUCUUUCGUCGGGGAAGAAAAUGACUGUACCCGAAUAAGAAGGUCCGGCUAACUUCGUGCCAGCAGCCGCGGUAAUACGAAGGGACCUAGCGUAGUUCGGAAUUACUGGGCUUAAAGAGUUCGUAGGUGGUUGAAAAAGUUGGUGGUGAAAUCCCAGAGCUUAACUCUGGAACUGCCAUCAAAACUUUUCAGCUAGAGUAUGAUAGAGGAAAGCAGAAUUUCUAGUGUAGAGGUGAAAUUCGUAGAUAUUAGAAAGAAUACCAAUUGCGAAGGCAGCUUUCUGGAUCAUUACUGACACUGAGGAACGAAAGCAUGGGUAGCGAAGAGGAUUAGAUACCCUCGUAGUCCAUGCCGUAAACGAUGUGUGUUAGACGUUGGAAAUUUAUUUUCAGUGUCGCAGCGAAAGCGAUAAACACACCGCCUGGGGAGUACGACCGCAAGGUUAAAACUCAAAUGAAUUGACGGGGACCCGCACAAGUAGUGGAGCAUGUGGUUUAAUUCGAAGAUACGCGCAGAACCUUACCAACACUUGACAUGUUCGUCGCGACUCUAAGAGAUUAGAGUUUUCGGUUCGGCCGGACGAAACACAGGUGCUGCAUGGCUGUCGUCAGCUCGUGUCGUGAGAUGUUGGGUUAAGUCCCGCAACGAGCGCAACCCUCACUUUUAGUUGCCAUCAUUAAGUUGGGCACUCUGAAAGAACUGCCAGUGAUAAGCUGGAGGAAGGUGGGGAUGACGUCAAGUCCUCAUGGCCCUUACGUGUUGGGCUACACACGUGCUACAAUGGUAUCUACAACAGGAAGCAAGACUGCGAAGUUAAGCAAAUCCCUAAAAGAUACCUCAGUUCGGAUUGCACUCUGCAACUCGAGUGCAUGAAGCUGGAAUUACUAGUAAUCGUGGAUCAGCGUGCCACGGUGAAUGCGUUCCCGGGUCUUGUACACACCGCCCGUCACACCAUGGGAGUUGGUUCUACCUUAAGGCAAGGUUUCAAACCCUUGACCACGGUAUAGUCAGCGACUGGGGUGAAGUCAUAACAAGGUAGCCGUA